rnacentral:rRNA from 1 species
ACGGUCCUUGUGUUGAUCCCCAAGGCACAAAACCCCACUCUCCUUACCCAGUUUAGACCUAUUAGUCUUUGCAAUGUUAUCUACAAAAUUGCGUCAAAAGUUGUAGCGAAUAGACUCAAAGUGAUAUUGCCAGAUAUUAUCUCAAAGGAGCAAUCAGCUUUUGUCCCAGGAAGGUUAAUCACCGAUAAUAUCAUAUGUGCCUAUGAAUGCUUGCACUUUAUGAAGAGAAACCGAUCCAAGUCUAAUAGCUUUUGUGCACUAAAGCUGGACAUGAUGAAGGCGUAUGACAGAGUGGAAUGGCCUUACCUACAAGCCAUCAUGGGUAAGCUUGGUUUUGCUUCGGAAUGGGUCUAG